AUUGAACGCUGGCGGCAGGCCUAACACAUGCAAGUCGAACGAGUGGCGGACGGGUGAGUAAUGUCUGGGAAACUGCCCGAUGGAGGGGGAUAACUACUGGAAACGGUAGCUAAUACCGCAUACCAUCGGAUGUGCCCAGAUGGGAGUAGCUUGUAGGUGAGGUAACGGCUCACCUAGGCUACGAUCCCUAGCUGGUCUGAGAGGAGGACCAGCCACACGGGAACUGAGCCACGGUCAAGACUCGUACGGUAGGCAGCAGUGGGGAUGAUGGCACAAGCGGCGCAAGCCUGAUGCAGCCAUGCCGCGUGUAUGAAGAAGGCCUUCGGGUUGUAAAGUACUUUCAGCGGGGAGUCGUUACCCGCAGAAGAAGCACCGGCUAACUCCGUGCCAGCAGCCGCGGUAAUAC
rnacentral:rRNA from 1 species